UGGGGAAUAUUGCACAAUGGGCGCAAGCCUGAUGCAGCCAUGCCGCGUGUGUGAAGAAGGCCUUCGGGUUGUAAAGCACUUUUAGCGGGGAAGAAGGCGAUAAGGUUAAUAACCUUGUCGAUUGACGUUACCCGCAGAAGAAGCACCGGCUAACUCCGUGCCAGCAGCCGCGGUAAUACGGAGGGUGCAAGCGUUAAUCGGAAUUACUGGGCGUAAAGCGCACGCAGGCGGUCUGUCAAGUCGGAUGUGAAAUCCCCGGGCUUAACCUGGGAGCUGCAAUCGAAACUGGCGGGCUAGAGUCUUGUAGAGGGGGGUAGGAUACCAGGUGUAGCGGUGAAAUGCGUAGAGAUCUGGGGGAAUACCGGUGGCGAAGGCGGCCCCCUGGACAAAGAAUGACGCUCAGGUGCGAAAAAGUGGGGAGCAAACAGG
rnacentral:rRNA from 1 species